CGAGGGCUUGGGAUUCAAGCUCGUAGACGGAGUUGAUUAGAAGAUAUUGUGCUCUUGGCACCCAUGAAAUGCUUUCCAAAGUAAGCUGCAUAACUCGUGCCUCGCCUCCAUUGAAGAUUGUUCGAAGGUCUUUUAUGCGAGCAAAAUGAUACAAUAUUGAAAAUACGGUUGCUGACAAAGUGUAAAGAGUGGCCACUGGAAUAUUUCUCUUGUUUGCAAUGGUGAUUGCCCAUAGUAACUCGGCAUCGGCUAUGAUAGUAGUCACUGGCGGGUCAAGCUGAUCAAGUAGCCGUUCAAAUGGACCUUCCAUCUUUGUCAUCACAGCCUCAUAGAAUCCAGGAAAAUCAGCUCCACGGACUAGUUCAGAAGGGAUGACAUUUGGUAUCGAGGCAAAUCUAAUGUUGCUGGGUUUAGUAUCAGAGCCAAUGAAUCCAAGCCACUCUUCAGUAACAACAAAAGUGAAGAGAAUAUCAUGUUUCUUUGAAGAUAGUAACUUGCAGAGAUUCAUCAUGGGGUUGACAUGGCCUCUGCCAGGAUAGGGCACUGCUAACACAUGGCAGUUGGUUGUUGAUCGCUGGUCAACGGCGUCCAUGUUAGAGUCCAUCUGUAUAUCUAGAAUGAUUUGAACGGAAGGUGUUCUCUGUCCAUAAUUUGUAGUAGAACGGAAGCAAUCAAAGGCUAGCAAGACAAGGACUCGCACAUGAUGUGCAGUUAAAAGAGAUUUACAAGAUGACAAUAUCACCACUUGAUUUGAUUUUGACGUUUCUGUUUUAUCUGUGUGUUGCCCGCAUAAUUCAGGAAGCGUGACAUGUUAAUGCUCCCAGCCUUUGGAUCAAUGCUCUAUUCAAAUAAAAAUACACAAACCACUCGCAGAUGUCUUUUAACGAA